rnacentral:rRNA from 1 species
CCUACGGGAGGCAGCAGUGAGGAAUAUUGGUCAAUGGGCGCGAGCCUGAACCAGCCAAGUCGCGUGAAUGAUGACUGCCCUACGGGUUGUAAACUUCUUUUAUAAAGGAAUCAAGUGAGGAACGUGUGCCUUUUUGUAUGUACUUUAUGAAUAAGGAUAGGCUCACUUCGUGCCAUCAGACGAGGUAAUACGGAGGAUCCGAGCGUUAUCCGGAUUUAUUGGGUUUAAAGGGAGCGUAGAUGGGUUGUUAAGUCAGUUGUGAAAGUUUGCGGCUCAACCGUAAAAUUGCAAGUGAUACUGGCAGCCUUGAGUACAGUUGAGGUAGGCGGAAUUCGUGGUGUAGCGGUGAAAUGCUGAGAU